rnacentral:rRNA from 1 species
AAAUCUUGACAUCCUCUGACCCCUCUAGAGAUAGAGUUUUCCCCUUCGGGGGACAGAGUGACAGGUGGUGCAUGGUUGUCGUCAGCUCGUGUCGUGAGAUGUUGGGUUAAGUCCCGCAACGAGCGCAACCCUUAAGCUUAGUUGCCAUCAUUAAGUUGGGCACUCUAAGUUGACUGCCGGUGACAAACCGGAGGAAGGUGGGGAUGACGUCAAAUCAUCAUGCCCCUUAUGAUUUGGGCUA